UGAGCUAUGGUGUAAUGGUAACACAACAGUCUCUGGAUCUGUUUUUCUUGGUUCGAGUCCAGGUAGCUCAA
rnacentral:tRNA from 1 species